ensembl:rRNA 5S_rRNA 5S ribosomal RNA
AUCUACUGCCAAACCAGCCUAGAAGGGCCCGAUCUCGCCGCGAUCGCGGAAGCUAAGCAGGGUCAGGCCUGGUUACCGAGACCUCUAGGGAAGACCGGGUGCUCUAGGCU